rnacentral:rRNA from 1 species
UACAGAGGGGGCAAGCGUUGUUCGGAAUUACUGGGCGUAAAGGGCGCGUAGGCGGCCUGUUAAGUCGAACGUGAAAUCCCCGGGCUCAACCCGGGAACUGCGUCCGAUACUGGCAGGCUUGAAUUCGGGAGAGGGAUGUGGAAUUCCAGGUGUAGCGGUGAAAUGCGUAGAUAUCUGGAGGAACACCGGUGGCGAAGGCGGCAUCCUGGACCGAUAUUGACGCUGAAAACCGAAAGCUAGGGGAGCAAACGGG